GGUUAAGCGACUAAGCGUACACGGUGGAUGCCCUGGCAGUCAGAGGCGAUGAAGGGCGUGCUAAUCUGCGAUAAGCGCCGGUAAGGUGAUAUGAACCGUUAUAACCGGCGAUACCCGAAUGGGGAAACCCAGUGUGAUUCGUCACACUAUCAUUAACUGAAUCCAUAGGUUAAUGAGGCGAACCGGGGGAACUGAAACAUCUAAGUACCCCGAGGAAAAGAAAUCAACCGAGAUUCCCCCAGUAGCGGCGAGCGAACGGGGAGGAGCCCAGAGCCUGAAUCAGCAUGUGUGUUAGUGGAAGCGUCUGGAAAGGCGCGCGAUACAGGGUGACAGCCCCGUACACAAAAGCGCAUGUGCUGUGAGCUCGAUGAGUAGGGCGGGACACGUGGUAUCCUGUCUGAAUAUGGGGGGACCAUCCUCCAAGGCUAAAUACUCCUGACUGACCGAUAGUGAACCAGUACCGUGAGGGAAAGGCGAAAAGAACCCCGGCGAGGGGAGUGAAAAAGAACCUGAAACCGUGUACGUACAAGCAGUGGGAGCCCCACCACUAAGCCAGUGGUGAACUCCACAUACGCAUCCUUUGCUGAGGAUACGGUUAACGGAGCGAAAGCGACGUUCAACCUCAAAAGAAGCAGAGGGGGCUUAGUGGUGGGGUGACUGCGUACCUUUUGUAUAAUGGGUCAGCGACUUAUAUUCUGUAGCAAGGUUAACCGAAUAGGGGAGCCGGAGGGAAACCGAGUCUUAACCGGGCGUUAAGUUGCAGGGUAUAGACCCGAAACCCGGUGAUCUAGCCAUGGGCAGGUUGAAGGUUGGGUAACACUAACUGGAGGACCGAACCGACUAAUGUUGAAAAAUUAGCGGAUGACCUGUGGCUGGGGGUGAAAGGCCAAUCAAACCGGGAGAUAGCUGGUUCUCCCCGAAAGCUAUUUAGGUAGCGCCUCGUGAAUUCAUCUCCGGGGGUAGAGCACUGUUUCGGCUAGGGGGUCAUCCCGACUUACCAACCCGAUGCAAACUGCGAAUACCGGAGAAUGUUAUCACGGGAGACACACGGCGGGUGCUAACGUCCGUCGUGAAGAGGGAAACAACCCAGACCGCCAGCUAAGGUCCCAAAGUCAUGGUUAAGUGGGAAACGAUGUGGGAAGGCCCAGACAGCCAGGAUGUUGGCUUAGAAGCAGCCAUCAUUUAAAGAAAGCGUAAUAGCUCACUGGUCGAGUCGGCCUGCGCGGAAGAUGUAACGGGGCUAAACCAUGCACCGAAGCUGCGGCAGCGAACGUAUCACCCAAGACAACUUUACGGAGUUGACGAUUGAUGGAGCGAAGCGACGUCAAAGCGUUCAUUAAAGUCGAGUUGGCUUAGGGAUACGUUCGUUGGGUAGGGGAGCGUUCUGUAAGCCUG
rnacentral:rRNA from 1 species